AGCUGGUCUGAUUGCAAUGGUGUUUACUACUAAUUAAUCCCAACAAGUUACAGAUGUCUUAUCUUUAUUUCUUCUCCACUCCCACUACUUUACUUAAUUGGCUUUAU
rnacentral:Y_RNA from 1 species